CCCUAGCCCCGAUAAAAGUGGAAAUCCUUAUUGUUUUUUCUUUAAAAACAAUAAGAUUGCAAUCUCGUCUUUAAAACGAGACGGGAA
rnacentral:sRNA from 1 species